GUCUCACUAAGUGACAUCUAUUUGAAUGACCCACCAACUGGAAAGAUCACUUUCCAGAUACCUUCUGGGCUCAACAGAUCUUUCCCUUGUUCAGCUUUUGAGGUUGAAGAAACUAAGAAUGUUAAGCAAGAAAACAAGGAAGACGAGGAAGUGAAAGGAGCUGUGGGAGUAAAGGGAGUGUGAGCAGUUUAGUUCACUAGUUUGACUACCGAUAAAUCUUUUCAUCUGCUGUGCUUUGCUACCCCUAAUCCCUCUCCAUUGUGAUGUUUUAAGUUGUUUACUUGUUUAUGUUGGUAAUGAAAUGCCUUUAGAAUUCAUAAAAAAA
rnacentral:misc_RNA from 1 species